rnacentral:rRNA from 1 species
AGGUAGCAAUACCUCUGCGGCGACCGGCGCACGGGUGAGUAACACGUAUGCAUCCACCUGUAACAGGGGGAUAACCCGGAGAAAUCCGGACUAAUACCCCAUAAUUCCGCAUGGAGAGAGCAAUUUUGGUUACAGACGAGCAUGCGCUCCAUUAGCCAGUUGGCGGGGUAACGGCCCACCAAAGCGACGAUGGAUAGGGGUUCUGAGAGGAAGGUCCCCCACAUUGGAACUGAGACACGGUCCAAACUCCUACGGGAGGCAGCAGUGAGGAAUAUUGGUCAAUGGUCGGCAGACUGAACCAGCCAAGUCGCGUGAGGGAAGACGGCCUACGGGUUGUAAACCUCUUUUGUCGGAGAGUAAGUACGCUACGUGUAGCGUAUUGCAAGUAUCCGAAGAAAAAGCAUCGGCUAACUCCGUGCCAGCAGCCGCGGUAAUACGGAGGAUGCGAGCGUUAUCCGGAUUUAUUGGGUUUAAAGGGUGCGUAGGCGGCACGCCAAGUCAGCGGUGAAAUUUUCGGGCUCAACCCGGACUGUGCCGUUGAAACUGGCGAGCUAGAGUGCACAAGAGGCAGGCGGAAUGCGUGGUGUAGCGGUGAAAUGCAUAGAUAUCACGCAGAACCCCGAUUGCGAAGGCAGCCUGCUAGGGUGCGACAGACGCUGAGGCACGAAAGCGUGGGUAUCGAACAGGAUUAGAUACCCUGGUAGUCCACGCAGUANACGAUGAAUACUAACUGUUUGCGAUACAUGUANGCGGUACAGCGAAAGCGUUAAGUA